CCUUAAUAGCGGCUGCACCAUUAGGAUGUCCUGAUCCAACAUCGAGGUCGUAAACCCCCUCGUCGAUAGGGACUCUGGGAGAGGAUUGCGCUGUUAUCCCUAGGGUAACUCGGUCCGUUGAUCGGCGUUCGCCGGAUCAUUUUUGGUCAGAAAUUCUGGUACUUAGAGUUGUGGCUCUUGGUUGUGGGGGCAGUGCCCCCAGUCCACAUGGGGGCUUUGUUUUCCCCCGCGGUCGCCCCAACCAAAGACAUAGGGGCUAGGGGUCACUGUGUUUUUACCUGUUAAUUUAAGGUUACUUGACGUGAUCUGCCUGGUGUCUAAAGCUCCAUAGGGUCUUCUCGUCUUAUGUGUUUAUGUCCGCUUCUGCACGGG
rnacentral:rRNA from 1 species